rnacentral:tRNA from 1 species
GGGUCUGUAGCUAAAUGGAUAAAGCAGUUGGUUCUUACCCAAAAGAAUGUGGGUUCGACUCCCACUGGACCCA